rnacentral:piRNA from 1 species
AAGUACUCAGUCUGGAUCGGUGGCU